GAUGAACGCUCGCGGCAGGCUUAAUACAUGAAAGUCGAGGGGCAGCAGGUCUGUAGCAAUACAGAUGCUGGCGACUGGCAAACGGGUGCGUAACACGUACGCAACCAUCCCGUUACUGGGGAAUAGCCCAGGGAAACUUGGAUUCAUACCCCAUACUAUAUUGGUUGGGCAUCCGACCGCAAUCAAUGUUUUAAGGGUAACGGAUGGGCGUGCGGUUGAUUAGGUAGUUGGCGGGGUAUCGGCACACCAAGCCUGCGAUCAAUAGCUGAUGUGAGAGCAUGAUCAGCCACACGGGGACUGAGACACGGGCCCGACUCCUACGGGAGGCAGCAGUAAGGAAUAUUGGGCAAUGGACGAAAGUCUGACCCAGCCAUGCCGCGUGAAGGAUGAAGGUCCUCUGGAUUGUAAACUUCUUUUAUCUGGGGCGAAAAUCGGGUAUUCUUAUCCGCUUGACAGUACCAGAGGAAUAAGCACCGGCUAACUCCGUGCCAGCAGCCGCGGUAAGAC
rnacentral:rRNA from 1 species